AUUGAACGCUGGCGGCAUGCCUUACACAUGCAAGUCGAACGGCAGCACGGGGCAACCUGGUGGCGAGUGGCGAACGGGUGAGUAAUGCAUCGGAACGUGCCAUUGAGUGGGGGAUAACGUAGCGAAAGUUGCGCUAAUACCGCAUAUUCUGUGAGCAGGAAAGCAGGGGACCGCAAGGCCUUGCGCUCUUUGAGCGGCCGAUGUCAGAUUAGCUAGUUGGUGAGGUAACGGCUUACCAAGGCGACGAUCUGUAGCGGGUCUGAGAGGAUGAUCCGCCACACUGGAACUGAGACACGGUCCAGACUCCUACGGGAGGCAGCAGUGGGGAAUUUUGGACAAUGGGGGCAACCCUGAUCCAGCAAUGCCGCGUGAGUGAAGAAGGCCCUCGGAUUGUAAAGCUCUUUGUCAGGGAAGAAAAGGCUGUGGCUAAUAUCCACAGCUGCUGACGGUACCUGAAGAAUAAGCACCG
rnacentral:rRNA from 1 species